AGCUCCAGCAGCGUAUAUUAAAGUUGUUGCAGUUAAAAAGCUCGUAGUUGGAUUUCUGGAUGGCCGCGCUGGCCCGCCCCCUUUCGGGGGUGAGUGCCGGCGCGAGCCCUCCAUCCUUCCAGGUUUCCGCGUGUACCGUUUACUCGGCCGCGCGCGUGCGAUCUGGAUCAUUUACUGUGAAAAAAUUAGAGUGUUUAAAGCAGGCUUAUGCCUUGAAUACAUUAGCAUGGAAUAAUAAAAUAGGACUUUGGUUCUAUUUUGUUGGUUUCUAGAACUGAAGUAAUGAUUGAUAGGGACAGUUGGGGGUGCUAGUAUUCAGCGGCCAGAGGUGAAAUUCUUGGAUUCGCUGAAGACUAACUACUGCGAAAGCAUUCACCAAGGAUGUC
rnacentral:rRNA from 1 species